rnacentral:rRNA from 1 species
UCCAACCCGCAAGGGAGGAGGAUGCCGAAGGUGGGGCUGAUGACUGGGGUGAAGUCGUAACAAGGUAGCCGUACCGGAAGGUGCGGCUGGAUCACCUCCUAA